rnacentral:lncRNA from 1 species
GGAUGAUUCAUGUCUUUUUUGUGUGUGGAAACCGGAAAUAAUCCCCAUGCUUUCCAGCUGGUUCCCAGAAAGAAGACAAGAUUUGUCCAGGACCAUGCUGUGAGGUGUGCACUAUGAAUAGAACCUGAGUGUCUCUCCAUGCAGAUACUUGAGGGACACUUCUAAGAGCCAGAACCUCUGCUUCAUGUGGGAGAUACAGCCGAGGAUGUGACACACACCCCCCUAACAGAGCUGGUGGUAAGUCCACUGGGACAGCGGAGUGCACGCAUGAGCAGAGGAGAUACGUGUAAUAUAAGUGCCCACUGGUUUUCCUCAAGGCCCUAUCGCAUAUGGCAUUCACCAUGCCCCAUGUGCACAAGAUUCAACUAUACCCAUGAUGCAUGAUGCCCGGAAGCUCAACGAGAUGCAAAAUGAGGAAACCGAUUCAGAGAGAUGAAGCAACACCUACAGGGACUGCAGCUGACCGAUGGCUGCCACAGUGGGGAAACAACUUUAGGUCCGAGGAAGACGGUGAUAGAAAAACCAUGACGCGCCCAGAUCGGAGGAGGCUUUAGAUCAUCAAGGCUGCGGUCUGAUUUUUUUCUUCUAAGAAGCACUAUGCUGGCUUAUUUGGUUUUAAACAACAGAAACCCACUCUGUCUCCUGUAUGCCAAUGAGGAAUUUAUUGAGAGGAUCUGGGGUUCCUGUACUUCUUGGCACUUAUAAUUUGCACCUGUAUCUUUAUUUGUGCCAUCAUGUGAUUACCAUCUGCCUCUCCUACAAGACUGUCUCUGGGCUGAAAACAUGAUUAACAGGCUCCAUGGUGUGAAAAGGCAAUGAAAUUCUUUCAGCAAGAGGAAGGCUUCGCCCCGAUUUUCGAGGAUCCGUCUGAGGAGCUACUCUUUGG